rnacentral:rRNA from 1 species
UACUCGAGUGGCGAACGGGUGAGUAACACGUGGGUGAUCUGCCCUGCACUUCGGGAUAAGCCUGGGAAACUGGGUCUAAUACCGGAUAGUAUCCAUUUUUAGUGUGAUGGUUGGAAAGUUUUUUCGGUGUAGGAUGAGCUCGCGGCCUAUCAGCUUGUUGGUGGGGUAAUGGCCUACCAAGGCGGCGACGGGUAGCCGGCCUGAGAGGGUGGACGGCCACAUUGGGACUGAGAUGCGGCCCAG